UACGAAGGGGGCUAGCGUUAAUCGGAAUUACUGGGCGUAAAGUGUGCGCAGGCCGCCGAGCAUGUCGAGUGUGAAAGCCCCGAGCUUAACUUGGGAACUGCGCUCGAAACUACUUGGCUAGAGUGUGGCAGAGGGAGUGGAAUUCCACGUGUAGCGGUGAAAUGCGUAGAGAUGUGGAGGAACACCGAUGGCGAAGGCAGCACUCUGGGCCGGCACUGACGCUGAGGAGCGAAAGCGUGGGGAGCGAACAGG
rnacentral:rRNA from 1 species